AGAGUUUGAUCAUGGCUCAGAUUGAACGCUGGCGGCAGGCCUAACACAUGCAAGUCGAACGGUAACAGGAAGAAGCUUGCUUCUUUGCUGACGAGUGGCGGACGGGUGAGUAAUGUCUGGGAAACUGCCUGAUGGAGGGGGAUAACUACUGGAAACGGUAGCUAAUACCGCAUAACGUCGCAAGACCAAAGAGGGGGACCUUCGGGCCUCUUGCCAUCGGAUGUGCCCAGAUGGGAUUAGCUAGUAGGUGGGGUAACGGCUCACCUAGGCGACGAUCCCUAGCUGGUCUGAGAGGAUGACCAGCCACACUGGAACUGAGACACGGUCCAGACUCCUACGGGAGGCAGCAGUGGGGAAUAUUGCACAAUGGGCGCAAGCCUGAUGCAGCCAUGCCGCGUGUAUGAAGAAGGCCUUCGGGUUGUAAAGUACUUUCAGCGGGGAGGAAGGGAGUAAAGUUAAUACCUUUGCUCAUUGACGUUACCCGCAGAAGAAGCACCGGCUAACUCCGUGCCAGCAGCCGCGGUAAUACGGAGGGUGCAAGCGUUAAUCGGAAUUACUGGGCGUAAAGCGCACGCAGGCGGUUUGUUAAGUCAGAUGUGAAAUCCCCGGGCUCAACCUGGGAACUGCAUCUGAUACUGGCAAGCUUGAGUCUCGUAGAGGGGGGUAGAAUUCCAGGUGUAGCGGUGAAAUGCGUAGAGAUCUGGAGGAAUACCGGUGGCGAAGGCGGCCCCCUGGACGAAGACUGACGCUCAGGUGCGAAAGCGUGGGGAGCAAACAGGAUUAGAUACCCCUGGUAGUCCACGCCGUAAACGAUGUCGACUUGGAGGUUGUGCCCUUGAGGCGUGGCUUCCGGAGCUAACGCGUUAAGUCGACCGCCUGGGGAGUACGGCCGCAAGGUUAAAACUCAAAUGAAUUGACGGGGGCCCGCACAAGCGGUGGAGCAUGUGGUUUAAUUCGAUGCAACGCGAAGAACCUUACCUGGUCUUGACAUCCACGGAAGUUUUCAGAGAUGAGAAUGUGCCUUCGGGAACCGUGAGACAGGUGCUGCAUGGCUGUCGUCAGCUCGUGUUGUGAAAUGUUGGGUUAAGUCCCGCAACGAGCGCAACCCUUAUCCUUUGUUGCCAGCGGUCCGGCCGGGAACUCAAAGGAGACUGCCAGUGAUAAACUGGAGGAAGGUGGGGAUGACGUCAAGUCAUCAUGGCCCUUACGACCAGGGCUACACACGUGCUACAAUGGCGCAUACAAAGAGAAGCGACCUCGCGAGAGCAAGCGGACCUCAUAAAGUGCGUCGUAGUCCGGAUUGGAGUCUGCAACUCGACUCCAUGAAGUCGGAAUCGCUAGUAAUCGUGGAUCAGAAUGCCACGGUGAAUACGUUCCCGGGCCUUGUACACACCGCCCGUCACACCAUGGGAGUGGGUUGCAAAAGAAGUAGGUAGCUUAACCUUCGGGAGGGCGCUUACCACUUUGUGAUUCAUGACUGGGGUGAAGUCGUAACAAGGUAACCGUAGGGGAACCUGCGGUUGGAUCACCU
rnacentral:rRNA from 1 species